GAGCGAAAGCGUGGGGAGCGAACAGGCUUAGAUACCCUGGUAGUCCACGCUGUAAACGGUGGGUACUAGGUGUGGGGUCCAUUCCACGGGUUCCGUGCCGUAGCUAACGCUUUAAGUACCCCGCCUGGGGAGUACGGCCGCAAGGCUAAAACUCAAAGGAAUUGACGGGGCCCCGCACAAGCGGCGGAGCAUGCGGAUUAAUUCGAUGCAACGCGUAGAACCUUACCUGGGUUUGACGUGGAUCGGGAGUGCUCAGAGAUGGGUGUGCCUCUUUUGGGGUCGGUUCACAGGUGGUGCAUGGCUGUCGUCAGCUCGUGUCGUGAGAUGUUGGGUUAAGUCCCGCAACGAGCGCAACCCUUGUUCACUGUUGCCAGCACGUUAUGGUGGGGACUCAGUGGAGACCGCCGGGGUCAACUCGGAGGAAGGUGGGGAUGACGUCAAGUCAUCAUGCCCCUUAUGUCCAGGGCUUCACGCAUGCUACAAUGGCUGGUACAGAGAGUGGCGAGCCUGUGAGGGUGAGCGAAUCUCGGAAAGCCGGUCUCAGUUCGGAUUGGGGUCUGCAACUCGACCUCAUGAAGUCGGAGUCGCUAGUAAUCGCAGAUCAGCAACGCUGCGGUGAAUACGUUCCCGGGCCUUGUACACACCGCCC
rnacentral:rRNA from 1 species